rnacentral:rRNA from 1 species
UACGGAGGGUGCAAACGUUGCUCGGAAUCAUUGGGCGUAAAGCGCACGUAGGCGGCUCGUUAAGUCGGAUGUGAAAGCCCCCGGCUCAACCGGGGAGGGUCGUCGGGGACUGGUGAACUUGAGGGCGGCAGGGGCUGGUGGAAUCCCCGGUGUAGUGGUGAAAUGCGUAGAGAUCGGGGGGAACACCCGUGGCGAAGGCGGCCAGCUGGGCCGUCCCUGACACUGAGGCACGAAAGCGUGGGGAGCAAACAGG